GUCACCUGUUAAAGAUGAGGUUCCGGGGUUUAGUGUUUGUAUUAGUGGCUGCAUUUUUAAUUCUAAGUUGUCAGACGGCACCUCUGAGUCAGGAUAAACAUCCUGGUUUUAUCUCCCGAUUACAAUCUUUGGCUCAGAAGAAGGCUAAUUGCUUUGGAAUUACCAUACAAGUGGUAGUCUCUACAGCCGCUACAACGACCGCUGCAGCUUAAUAAUUUUAUCUGCCAGACGCAGAACGGCACAAAUAGUAAAUGAGCC